CAGCCGCCGCGGUAAUACGGAGGGUGCAAGCGUUAAUCGGAAUUACUGGGCGUAAAGCGCACGCAGGCGGUUUGUUAAGUCAGAUGUGAAAUCCCCGGGCUCAACCUGGGAACUGCAUUUAAAACUGGCAAGCUAGAGUCUCGUAGAGGGGGGUAGAAUUCCAGGUGUAGCGGUGAAAUGCGUAGAGAUCUGGAGGAAUACCGGUGGCGAAGGCGGCCCCCUGGACGAAGACUGACGCUCAGGUGCGAAAGCGUGGGGAGCAAACAGGAUUAGAUACCCCUGUAGUCCCUGUCUCUUAUAC
rnacentral:rRNA from 1 species